rnacentral:rRNA from 1 species
GGGUUGUGAGGUUAAGCGACUAAGCGUACACGGUGGAUGCCCUGGCAGUCAGAGGCGAUGAAGGACGUGCUAAUCUGCGAUAAGCGUCGGUAAGGUGAUAUGAACCGUUAUAACCGGCGAUUUCCGAAUGGGGAAACCCAGUGUGUUUCGACACACUAUCAUUAACUGAAUCCAUAGGUUAAUGAGGCGAACCGGGGGAACUGAAACAUCUAAGUACCCCGAGGAAAAGAAAUCAACCGAGAUUCCCCCAGUAGCGGCGAGCGAACGGGGAGCAGCCCAGAGCCUGAAUCAGUGUGUGUGUUAGUGGAAGCGUCUGGAAAGGCGCGCGAUACAGGGUGACAGCCCCGUACACAAAAAUGCACAUGCUGUGAGCUCGAUGAGUAGGGCGGGACACGUGGUAUCCUGUCUGAAUAUGGGGGGACCAUCCUCCAAGGCUAAAUACUCCUGACUGACCGAUAGUGAACCAGUACCGUGAGGGAAAGGCGAAAAGAACCCCGGCGAGGGGAGUGAAAAAGAACCUGAAACCGUGUACGUACAAGCAGUGGGAGCACGCUUCGGCGUGUGACUGCGUACCUUUUGUAUAAUGGGUCAGCGACUUAUAUUCUGUAGCAAGGUUAACCGAAUAGGGGAGCCGAAGGGAAACCGAGUCUUAACUGGGCGUUAAGUUGCAGGGUAUAGACCCGAAACCCGGUGAUCUAGCCAUGGGCAGGUUGAAGGUUGGGUAACACUAACUGGAGGACCGAACCGACUAAUGUUGAAAAAUUAGCGGAUGACUUGUGGCUGGGGGUGAAAGGCCAAUCAAACCGGGAGAUAGCUGGUUCUCCCCGAAAGCUAUUUAGGUAGCGCCUCGUGAAUUCAUCUCCGGGGGUAGAGCACUGUUUCGGCAAGGGGGUCAUCCCGACUUACCAACCCGAUGCAAACUGCGAAUACCGGAGAAUGUUAUCACGGGAGACACACGGCGGGUGCUAACGUCCGUCGUGAAGAGGGAAACAACCCAGACCGCCAGCUAAGGUCCCAAAGUCAUGGUUAAGUGGGAAACGAUGUGGGAAGGCCCAGACAGCCAGGAUGUUGGCUUAGAAGCAGCCAUCAUUUAAAGAAAGCGUAAUAGCUCACUGGUCGAGUCGGCCUGCGCGGAAGAUGUAACGGGGCUAAACCAUGCACCGAAGCUGCGGCAGCGACGCUUAUGCGUUGUUGGGUAGGGGAGCGUUCUGUAAGCCUGUGAAGGUGUGCUGUGAGGCAUGCUGGAGGUAUCAGAAGUGCGAAUGCUGACAUAAGUAACGAUAAAGCGGGUGAAAAGCCCGCUCGCCGGAAGACCAAGGGUUCCUGUCCAACGUUAAUCGGGGCAGGGUGAGUCGACCCCUAAGGCGAGGCCGAAAGGCGUAGUCGAUGGGAAACAGGUUAAUAUUCCUGUACUUGGUGUUACUGCGAAGGGGGGACGGAGAAGGCUAUGUUGGCCGGGCGACGGUUGUCCCGGUUUAAGCGUGUAGGCUGGUUUUCCAGGCAAAUCCGGAAAAUCAAGGCUGAGGCGUGAUGACGAGGCACUACGGUGCUGAAGCAACAAAUGCCCUGCUUCCAGGAAAAGCCUCUAAGCAUCAGGUAACAUCAAAUCGUACCCCAAACCGACACAGGUGGUCAGGUAGAGAAUACCAAGGCGCUUGAGAGAACUCGGGUGAAGGAACUAGGCAAAAUGGUGCCGUAACUUCGGGAGAAGGCACGCUGAUAUGUAGGUGAAGCGACUUGCUCGUGGAGCUGAAAUCAGUCGAAGAUACCAGCUGGCUGCAACUGUUUAUUAAAAACACAGCACUGUGCAAACACGAAAGUGGACGUAUACGGUGUGACGCCUGCCCGGUGCCGGAAGGUUAAUUGAUGGGGUUAGCGCAAGCGAAGCUCUUGAUCGAAGCCCCGGUAAACGGCGGCCGUAACUAUAACGGUCCUAAGGUAGCGAAAUUCCUUGUCGGGUAAGUUCCGACCUGCACGAAUGGCGUAAUGAUGGCCAGGCUGUCUCCACCCGAGACUCAGUGAAAUUGAACUCGCUGUGAAGAUGCAGUGUACCCGCGGCAAGACGGAAAGACCCCGUGAACCUUUACUAUAGCUUGACACUGAACAUUGAGCCUUGAUGUGUAGGAUAGGUGGGAGGCUUUGAAGUGUGGACGCCAGUCUGCAUGGAGCCGACCUUGAAAUACCACCCUUUAAUGUUUGAUGUUCUAACGUUGACCCGUAAUCCGGGUUGCGGACAGUGUCUGGUGGGUAGUUUGACUGGGGCGGUCUCCUCCUAAAGAGUAACGGAGGAGCACGAAGGUUGGCUAAUCCUGGUCGGACAUCAGGAGGUUAGUGCAAUGGCAUAAGCCAGCUUGACUGCGAGCGUGACGGCGCGAGCAGGUGCGAAAGCAGGUCAUAGUGAUCCGGUGGUUCUGAAUGGAAGGGCCAUCGCUCAACGGAUAAAAGGUACUCCGGGGAUAACAGGCUGAUACCGCCCAAGAGUUCAUAUCGACGGCGGUGUUUGGCACCUCGAUGUCGGCUCAUCACAUCCUGGGGCUGAAGUAGGUCCCAAGGGUAUGGCUGUUCGCCAUUUAAAGUGGUACGCGAGCUGGGUUUAGAACGUCGUGAGACAGUUCGGUCCCUAUCUGCCGUGGGCGCUGGAGAACUGAGGGGGGCUGCUCCUAGUACGAGAGGACCGGAGUGGACGCAUCACUGGUGUUCGGGUUGUCAUGCCAAUGGCACUGCCCGGUAGCUAAAUGCGGAAGAGAUAAGUGCUGAAAGCAUCUAAGCACGAAACUUGCCCCGAGAUGAGUUCUCCCUGACCCUUUAAGGGUCCUGAAGGAACGUUGAAGACGACGACGUUGAUAGGCCGGGUGUGUAAGCGCAGCGAUGCGUUGAGCUAACCGGUACUAAUGAACCGUGAGGCUUAACCUUACAACGCCGAAG